rnacentral:misc_RNA from 1 species
UCUCCGUUGGUGAACCAGCGGAGGGAUCAUUACCGAGUUUACAACUCCCAAACCCCUGUGAACAUACCAUUUGUUGCCUCGGCGGUGCCUGCUUUGGCAGCCCGCCAGAGGACCCAAACCCUUGAUUUUAUACAGUAUCUUCUGAGUAAAUGAUUAAAUAAAUCAAAACUUUCAACAACGGAUCUCUUGGUUCUG